rnacentral:rRNA from 1 species
AUGAUGAACACCAGGGCUCUCGCUCUCGGCGCGGCCGUCGUCCUCGCCUUCGCGGCGGCGACCGCGCACGCCCAGAGGUGCGGCGAGCAGGGCAGCGGCUUGGAGUGCCCCAACAACCUCUGCUGCAGCCAGUACGGCUACUGCGGCAUGGGCGGCGACUACUGCGGCAACGGCUGCCAGAACGGCGCCUGCUACACCAGCAAACGCUGCGGCGCCCAGGCCGCCGGCGCAGUGUGCCCCAACAACCACUGCUGCAGCCAGUACGGGCACUGCGGGUUCGGCUCCGAGUACUGUGGUGCCGGCUGCCAGGGUGGCCCCUGCCGCGCCGACAUCAAGUGCGGCAGCCAGGCCGGCGGCAAGCUCUGCCCCAACAAUCUCUGCUGCAGCCAGUGGGGUUUCUGCGGCCUCGGCUCCGAGUUCUGCGGCGUCGGCUGCCAGAGCGGUGCUUGCAGCACCGACAAGCCGUGCGGCAAGAACGCCGGUGGCAGGGCUUGCACAAACAACUAUUGUUGCAGCCAGUGGGGAUCCUGCGGUAUCGGCCCGGCCUACUGCGGUGCAGGCUGCCAGAGCGGCGGCUGUGGCUCUGUAUUCGAGGCCAUAGCCGCCAACUCCACCUCCACUCUUCUCAAAGAAUGA